UCCGUCCCGCUCACCUCUCAGCGCGCGCGGCUCUCACUCGCCCCUCGCUCUCCGCGAAAAAAGAAAUCGCACAACUGAACUGCCGCAGCACUGGACCUCGCGCAUACCGCGCCUGCGCGAACUAGCCCUUUCGUUGCCUCCCCCUUCCCGCGGUUAGGGACCGAGGAGAACGUGACGCUUUACAGCAAUGCCGCAAACGCAGCCAGGAAGCCGGCUUUACGGAUCGGCGACCACCUGACAAUGAAGCUGGGGGUAACUAGAAACAAGCGAGGAAAAACACUGAACCAGCCGGACAAACCUUUACCAAACGUUGGCGCAAUGGAAGCGUCAGGUGUCAAACAUCAUCUGUCGUUGUCAGUCCCACCCCCGAACCUUAGGUUUCCUUGCCGAAGAGCAGGGAAGAAAAAAUGCUGGUAAUUUGUGUACCAUCCCUGAACAAUCUAAAGACUACAUGCCAUGCGCAAGGGGGAGGAGAAGCGCCUAGCAAAUGAAAACGCAAGAAGGAAGUUGACUGACUGGGCAUUGGUAUAGUUGGUAUCGCUCCAGCUGGAUCACAGAGUCAGAUCUGACAGUUUCCACAAUGAAUAGCCUCCCAUGCGCUUCUCAUAUUAGUAGCUAUUAUGAAAUAACAGAAUAAAGUUCAGGUUUGUGUGAUAAUACAGGCAAAUACUUAGGACCCUCCAGUUAAAAAUAUUCAUAUUACGAAAGCUUUUUUUGUUAAAGCUGUUUCCAUCACAUUCAUUUUUUUAAAGCAACACUUUCCUUAUUACAUGUGUUUAUUAUAUUUAUAAUCCUGCUUUUGAGGAAAACAAAUAAAUAUAUACCCAAGCAGAUGACGUAACUUGAAGUACAAUACUCAAUGCAGUGUUUCUGUUUUUUAAAGAGGAAUUCAAGGCACAAAAUUAAACCCAACAGUACAUUUAUGCAUUUGUGGGUGCCAGACACUUAAUCCAUGGACUCAACAAGUGUUAAGCGAACAAAGGGAAAGGCCAUUAAGAAGGCAAAUGCUCUGAGCCAAAUAGCAAAGAGGUGGGGCCCCUCCUCCAGCUCUUAGAUAGUCAGAAGGACAAAAGCCAGAGUUUAGAGUCUGUGUGUAAUAUGAGCUAGAAGUAAAAGCUGCUGGCUGAAAAGCCAGAGAAGCAGAGCAUGAUGUUUGAUUUCUGUUUGAAUCCAAGGCUGCAGCUGUAACAGAAACCAGAUCCUUUUGGGGUGUUAAUGCUGUGAACCCCUCCAUUGUAGGCUCAGGUUGUAUAUAUGUGUAAAUAAACUAUAUAUCAUAAACAUACAACAAUCUCUGCCGUGCCUCAUUGGCAAAAGGAAAACAUGAACCCUGGGCGAGUGCAUGGAACCCUUAGAACCUCACACUGCAACAAUACUAGACAGAGACAGCAGAAUGUUAGGAAGAUCCCUUAUACUGGUCCCUGUAGAACGGACUUGCAGCAGUCCUCAGAUUAAUAAACAUAUUAAAAUAAAAAAUCUGGCACUGAUACAUAGAAUUGCAUCAUUCCAAAAAUGAGUAGUCCCUGAAAUAUAUUUUGAAAGUUCAGGUUCUGAAGGCAGAUUAAAGGAAGGUCUCCAGCAAAAACCUUUUCCAGCCCUGCUAGCAGAGAUCAUUUCUAAAUAGAUAUGUUGGGUAAUGAACUUGAGAUGUUCUGCAUCCCAAACAUGUUACUAAGCCUUUGUAAUGCUAGAAGGAUAUAAAAUGUGGCCUUAGUGAAGGACAUUACAUAGUGUGUGU